AUUGAACGCUGGCUGCAGGCCUAACACAUGCAAGUCGAGCGGAUGACGGGAGCUUGCUCCUUGAUUCAGCGGCGGACGGGUGAGUAAUGCCUAGGAAUCUGCCUGGUAGUGGGGGACAACGCUUCGAAAGGAACGCUAAUACCGCAUAAAUCCUACGGGAGAAAGCAGGGGACCUUCGGGCCUUGCGCUAUCAGAUGAGCCUAGGUCGGAUUAGCUAGUAGGUGAGGUAAUGGCUCACCUAGGCGACGAUCCGUAACUGGUCUGAGAGGAUGAUCAGUCACAAUGGAACUGAGAAACGGUCCAGACUCCUACGGGAGGCAGCAGUGGGGAAUAUUGGACAAUGGGCGAAAGCCUGAUCCAGCCAUGCCGCGUGUGUGAAGAAGGUCUUCGGAUUGUAAAGCACUUUAAGUUGGGAGGAAGGGCAGUAAGCUAAUACCUUGCUGUUUUGACGUUACCGACAGAAUAAGCACCGGCUAACGCUGUGCCAGCAGCCGCCGCAGUAA
rnacentral:rRNA from 1 species